GCAAGUCGAACGAGAAAGCGGGCUUCGGCUCGUGAGUAGAGUGGCAUACGGGUGAGUAACACGUGGGCAAUCUGCCCGAAGGUGGGGGAUAACUCUCGGAAACGGGGGCUAAUACCGCAUGAUAUCGCGAGGACUUCGGUCCUUGCGCUCAAAGCUAGCCUCUUCUUGAAAGCUAGCGCCAUCGGAGGAGCUCGCGGCCCAUUAGCUUGUUGGUGAGGUAACGGCUCACCAAGGCUACGAUGGGUAGCCGGCCUGAGAGGGCGAUC
rnacentral:rRNA from 1 species